CUUGCAUGCAGCUGGUUCAGGGAUUGCUCGUGUCUGUUUGCCGCCACGACUGAAUUCAUUUCUGGGUUGGUCACCUGACCACGAGACUCUUGCUGAUUGGGCACCGUUCGUAGGUGCUUAGAAACCGAGAAUACUAACUUCCGAUUGGUUAAAAGGAAGUUCUAUGGUCUACUGAGAGGGACAAACUUAAACAAAUGCAUUUAUAACCG